AGUGCCUGCCUCCACCAGGAACACCAAGAAUUAUGUAGAGUCUCCUGGAGAAGACUUGGCUGCAGAUAAAUAAUUCUUCAUGUGCAGAGUAGCUGAAAAGAGGGGUAAUUUUUUAGCCCAACCCAGGUACUUGGGAGCUGCCAGAAGCCUCUGAAACAGAUGGAGUUGGCAGGAGACAAGCAGAUUUACAGUGGUUGACUCCUAAUACAAUAGGACUUGAAGCAGUUGGGUUGUUCUACUUUGUACUCAGUAAACGCAUUAAUUCUGAACCACAUUUAUUGAAUCCAGACUUUCUUGCAACCCUUUCUGGUGUCUAAAUCCAAGAUGAACCCUCAAAAUCUGUGCUUCUUGUUUUGGACACGUCAUUUGCAGGGCCCACCCUGGAAGUGUUAGUA